rnacentral:rRNA from 1 species
GCGACACGGCCCAUACUCCUACGGGAGGCAGCAGUUAGGAAUCUUCCGCAAUGGGCGAAAGCCUGACGGAGCGACACCGCGUGAAGGAUGAAGUCAUUUUUUGAUGUAAACUUCUGUUCUGAGGGACGAAAUUUUUGACGGUACCUCAGGAGAAAGCACCGGCUAAUUCUGUGCCAGCAGCCGCGGUAAGACAGAAGGUGCAAGCGUUACUCGGAAUUACUGGGCGUAAAGCGUCUGUAGGCCUCCUCCCCGUCUGUCGUCAAUGGCGAUGCUUACAUCGUCAUCGUGACGGAAACGAGGAGGAUCGAGCGACUCAGAGGCAUCUGGAAUGUCGUGUGUAGGGGUAAAAUCCGUAGAUACACGAUGGAACGCCGAAAGUGAAGACAGGAUGCUAGGAGUCUGCUGACGCUGAGAGACGAAAGCGUGGGGAGCAAAGGGGAUUAGAUACCCCCGUAGUCCACGCCCUAAACGAUGCGUGCUCGGUGUAGGAGAGUUUUCAAUCCUCUCCUGUGCCUAGCUUACGCGGUAAGCACGCCGCCUGAGAAGUACGGCCGCAAGGCUAAAAACUCAAGGAAUAGACGGGGACCCACACAAGCGGUGGAGCAUGGGGUUUAUUCGAUGAAAGCGAGCACCUCACCAGGCUUGACAUCCAGGGAACCGGCCGAAAGGUGGCGUGCGCAAGGACCCUGAGACAGCGGUGCACGUCGUCGUCGCUCGUGCUUGAGGUGACUGUUCAUCAGCCACGAGCGCAACCUCAUUCAUGUUGACUUCAUGAGAACUGCGCCUCCAGGCGGAGAAGUGAGGUGACUCAGACAGCU